AGAGUUUGAUCAUGGCUCAGAUUGAACGCUGGCGGAAUGCUUUACACAUGCAAGUCGAACGGCAGCACGGACUUCGGUCUGGUGGCGAGUGGCGAACGGGUGAGUAAUAUAUCGGAACGUAUCCAAUAAUGGGGGAUAACUAAUCGAAAGGUUGGCUAAUACCGCAUACGCCCUACGGGGGAAAGCUAGGGACCUUCGGGCCUGGCGUUAAUGGAGCGGCCGAUAUCUGAUUAGCUAGUUGGUGAGGUAAGAGCUCACCAAGGCAACGAUCAGUAGCUGGUCUGAGGGACGACCAGCCACACUGGAACUGAGACACGGUCCAGACUCCUACGGGAGGCAGCAGUGGGGAAUUUUGGACAAUGGGCGCAAGCCUGAUCCAGCCAUUCCGCGUGAGUGAAGAAGGCCUUCGGGUUGUAAAGCUCUUUCGCAAGGGAAGAAAACUUAGUUACUAAUAUUAACUGAGGUUGACGGUACCUUGAUAAGAAGCACCGGCUAACUACGUGCCAGCAGCCGCGGUAAUACGUAGGGUGCGAGCGUUAAUCGGAAUUACUGGGCGUAAAGCGUGCGCAGGCUGUUUUGUAAGUCAGAUGUGAAAUCCCCGAGCUCAACUUGGGAACUGCGUUUGAAACUACAAGACUAGAAUAUGUCAGAGGGGGGUAGAAUUCCACGUGUAGCAGUGAAAUGCGUAGAGAUGUGGAGGAAUAUCAAUGGCGAAGGCAGCCCCCUGGGAUAAUAUUGACGCUCAUGCACGAAAGCGUGGGGAGCAAACAGGAUUAGAUUCCCUGGUAGUCCACGCCCUAAACGAUGUCUACUAGUUGUUGGUGGAGUAAAAUCCAUGAGUAACGCAGCUAACGCGUGAAGUAGACCGCCUGGUGAGUACGGUCGCAAGAUUAAAACUCAAAUGAAUUGACGGGGGCCCGCACAAGCGGUGGAUUAUGUGGAUUAAUUCGAUGCAACGCGAAAAACCUUACCUGGCCUUGACAUGUAGCGAAUUUACCAGAGAUGGUUUAGUGCUCGAAAGAGAACGGUAACACAGGUGCUGCAUGGCUGUCGUCAGCUCGUGUCGUGAGAUGUUGGGUUAAGUCCCGCAACGAGCGCAACCCUUGCCAAUAAUUGCCAUCAUUUAGUUGGGCACUUUAUUGGACUGCCGAUGACAAAUCGGAGGAAGGUGGGGAUGACGUCAAGUCCUCAUGGCCCUUAUGGCCAGGGCUUCACACGUAAUACAAUGGUCGGUACAGAGGGUUGCCAAGCCGUAAGGUGGAGCCAAUCCCAGAAAGCCGAUCGUAGUCCGGAUUGAGGUCUGCAACUCGACCUCAUGAAGUCGGAAUCGCUAGUAAUCGCGGAUCAGCAUGUCGCGGUGAAUACGUUCCCGGGCCUUGUACACACCGCCCGUCACACCAUGGGAGUGGGUUUUACCAGAAGUAGGUAGUCUAACCGCAAGGAGGACGCUUACCACGGUAGUAUUCAUGACUGGGGUGAAGUCG
rnacentral:rRNA from 1 species